rnacentral:rRNA from 1 species
GACGAACGCUGGCGGCGUGCUUAACACAUGCAAGUCGUACGGUAAGGCCCUUUCGGGGGUACACGAGUGGCGCACGGGUGCGUAACACGUGAGUAACCUGCCCACAACUUUGGGAUAACGCUAGGAAACUGGUGCUAAUACUGGAUAUGUGCCCCUGCUGCAUGGUGGGGGUUGGAAAGCUCCGGCGGUUGUGGAUGGACUCGCGGCCUAUCAGCUUGUUGGUGGGGUAGUGGCCUACCAAGGCGGCGACGGGUAGCCGGCCUGAGAGGGUGACCGGCCACAUUGGGACUGAGAGACGGCCCAGACGGCUACGGGAGGCAGAAGGGGGGAAGAUUGAACAAGGGGCGCAAGCCUGAUGCAGCAACGCCGCGGGCGGGAUGACGGCCUUCGGGUUGUAAACCGCUUUCAGCAGGGACGAAGCUUUUUGUGACGGUACCUGCAGAAGAAGCACCGGCUAACUACGUG